UACGUAGGGGCAAGCGUUGUCCGGAUUUAUUGGGCGUAAAGAGCGUGUAGGCGGCCUGAAAGGUCAGCUGUGAAACUCGAGGCUCAACCUCGAGACGUCGGUUGAAACCAUCUGGCUAGAGUCCGGAAGAGGAGUGUGGAAUUCCCGGUGUAGCGGUGAAAUGCGCAGAUAUCGGGAAGAACACCCGUGGCGAAGGCGGCACUCUGGG
rnacentral:rRNA from 1 species